CAGCCAUAGAGCAAAGAAAAUGAAUAACGUGAAUGACUGCCAAGGGAAGUUUAUAGCUGGAAGACCUGCGAUAGCCUGCAUAUUUUAAUCCCAGUCUGUCCCUGAUGCCAAUUGGUGACUGUAUGAAAACUGCUGAGUCAUGGCCUGAAGCUCUGAUGGAUCACCUGAGGCAGCGAUGAGUCAGCAAUGAGCACAGCUGCAGGCAACUCACCUGUGCUGCAGGAAGGGGCGGAGCCUGGCUGCACCGCGCCUGGACCCAUUUAAGGACUGGAUGCGAGUGGGGAAGGAGCUCUGCUGGAGAUCCGCUCUGCUGCAGUUUGGUGACUGAGCCCAGGAUGCAGAUAGGGGGAGAGGAGCAGCAUUCCUGGAAGACCUGGAGUACAGAGGAGGGAAGGCGGAGCUUCUGGCUGGAUCAAAGCAGAGAAAAAGCUCUGCUUUGGGACCCACCUGUCUGAAAUGAGAAGUUCACAGCCAAAGAUGCUCUGCGCCUUCUGAGAUGAACCCCAUUUCCUCUGUAAGGCUGGAGAUCCUGGAAUGAAAAGCAGCACCUAAAGAAAGAUAAGAAACAACAGGAAUAAGAGAAGGCAGCCAGGAAAACGUGCAGGGAAAGCGAUGGGAGGGGAAAGGAGCCCCAAAGCUGCGCAAGGAGAGAGUGGUGCGGCUCAAAGGAGGUGGGGGGGUGGUGGGGCCUGUUCAGAACCCCGGUCCCCUCAGGAGCCCAGAAGUGCCUCAGAGCCCCACAGCCCCUCUGUCACGGCUUUAUAGUUCUGCUAUUGGCAUUCCACAUCAUUCCUCAUCAAGCACAGGCAAGUUAAGAGGAAAUAAUCCAGCCCAAAGGAUUGGAAACCUCCUACGUGGAGGGGGAUAAGAGGAGCAGAGUAACUGCGGAUGCCAGGGGAUUCACGGUCAGAGAGGAAGAUCCCUCCAGGUCGAAAGGCUUGUGGUUUGUGGUUUUCAGACACUUCCGUGCAGAAUUCUCCACAAAAACAUGACGCUUUCUCCCAGAAAUACCAAUUCCAACCCAAAAAUACGUUUUCUCCCCCAAAAAUGAGUUUUCCUCUGAGAAAUACCUGUUUGUCCCCAAAACUAUGACUUAUUCUCCCAGACACACAGGUUUAUGCCCCACAAAUAUGACAUUUUUAAAUAGAACUACAGUUUAAUCCCUAAACCGUGACAUUUC